rnacentral:rRNA from 1 species
CACGGGGGGAGCAAGCGUUGUUCGGAAUCACUGGGCGUAAAGGGCGUGCAGGCGGUCAGGUAAGUGAGAUGUGAAAUGCCCCGGCUCACCCGGGGACCGGCAUCUCAUACUGCUUGGCUUGAGUACGGGAGAGGAUGUGGGAAUUCCUGGUGUAGCGGUGAAAUGCGUAGAUAUCAGGAGGAACACCGGUGGCGAAGGCGCACAUCUGGCCCGAUACUGACGCUGAGGCGCGAAAGCUAGGGGAGCAAACAGG